rnacentral:rRNA from 1 species
AGUGAACGCUGGCGAUAGGCCUAACACAUGCAAGUCGAACGGCAGCACAGUAAGAGCUUGCUCUUACGGGUGGCGAGUGGCGGACGGGUGAGGAAUACAUCGGAAUCUACUUUUUCGUGGGGGAUAACGUAGGGAAACUUACGCUAAUACCGCAUACGACCUACGGGUGAAAGCAGGGGAUCUUCGGACCUUGCGCGAUUGAAUGAGCCGAUGUCGGAUUAGCUAGUUGGCGGGGUAAAGGCCCACCAAGGCGACGAUCCGUAGCUGGUCUGAGGGGAUGAUCAGCCACACUGGAACUGAGACACGGUCCAGACUCCUACGGGAGGCAGCAGUGGGGAAUAUUGGACAAUGGGCGCAAGCCUGAUCCAGCCAUACCGCGUGGGUGAAGAAGGCCUUCGGGUUGUAAAGCCCUUUUGUUGGGAAAGAAAAGCAGCAGGUUAAUACCCCGCUGUUCUGACGGUACCCAAAGAAUAAGCACCGGCUAACUUCGUG